GUGCCAGCCGCCGCGGUAAUACCGGCAGCCCGAGUGAUGGCCGAUCUUAUUGGGCCUAAAGCGUCCGUAGCUGGCCGCACAAGUCUAUCGGAAAAUCCACCCGCUCAACGGGUGGGCGUCCGGUAGAAACUGUGUGGCUUGGGACCGGAAGGCGCGACGGGUACGUCCGGGGUAGGAGUGAAAUCCCGUAAUCCUGGACGGACCGCCGAUGGCGAAAGCACUUCGAGAAAACGGAUCCGACAGUGAGGGACGAAGGCCAGGGUCUCCAACCGGAUUAGAUACCCCAGUAGUCC
rnacentral:rRNA from 1 species